AAUAUUGGUCAAUGGACGAAAGUCUGAACCAGCCAUGCCGCGUGAAGGAUUAAGGCCCUCUGGGUUGUAAACUUCUUUUAUCUGGGACGAAAAAAGGGUAUUCUUACUCACUUGACGGUACCAGAGGAAUAAGCACCGGCUAACUCCGUGCCAGCAGCCGCGGUAAUACGGAGGGUGCAAGCGUUAUCCGGAUUUACUGGGUUUAAAGGGUGCGUAGGUGGAUUUGUAAGUCAGUGGUGAAAUCUCCGAGCUUAACUCGGAAACUGCCGUUGAUACUAUAAGUCUUGAAUCAUCUGGAGGUAAGCGGAAUAUGUCAUGUAGCGGUGAAAUGCUUAGAUAUGACAUAGAACACCAAUUGCGAAGGCAGCUUACUACGGAUGUAUUGACACUGAGGCACGAAAGCGUGGGGAUCAAACAGG
rnacentral:rRNA from 1 species